GUAAAUGCUGACUUGUUAUUUAUACUAAUGCAGAGACAGUGGUACUGUCUUAUAGAUGUAUCAGAAAUUGUGGCUGAUACAUAUCACUAUAUGACCUUGGAAUAUUCAUUAGCUUCCACACGAUGUGAAAGUAUGCAACAACAACAGGAAGAGUUUGUGUUAUCUUGCCCAGAUACCCACAAUGCAUUCAUCAAGCUUUUAGUUUCUAUUUUGUGUAAUGGUGAUAACACACAGCAAUUAAAUUCCACGUUAAAUAAGUACAAUGAACUCAUAAAUGAAAACAAAGUUAAAAAGCAAUUCAUAUUGGAAACAGACAUAUAUUCCAAAAUUGAUGAACUAGAAAUGUUGUAAGUAUUAUAUUUUUAACAGUUAUACAAGUGAAAUUCAAAAGGGAGCAACAUACAGUUUCAAACCAAUUUCGUAUGAAAUUGAAACUUAUUACAAGGAAGCUUGUGAUCAUUUACAAAAUAUACAAACAGAUUUAACUAAAGUAAUAAGUCAAAUGAAAGAACAAAUGUGGAUCCAAUUACACUAAAACAAAAACAUAAAGAAGGCAUGCAAAUAACAAAUAAAUCAUGUUUUCGAAGUACAUUUGAAGUUGAAUAAAUACGAUUUUUAUGAGUGAGCAAAACAGUCUAAGCUAACCACACAUAAAUAAGGGGAAGCAUGAUGCAUGGGUUAAUUGCAUAGUACUGGAGUAUCGAGAAGCGUAAUACAUAAAUAAACUGUUCGGUUAUGGACAAAUACAUGCACAGUUAGAAAACCUCCUACAUACUAUUAAAUACUUGUCAAAAGUGGAGGAGUAUUGUAUAUAUUAUUGGCGAGCUGAUACGUAUUCAAUAUCUAGCUAUCUGUACAUACUUACAGUUAUUACUUGUAUUCUUCUCUGUUAAAUAUUUUGAAUUCUUUCCAAAUAUAUUCUAUAAUUUUGUUAAAAAAAACAA